CUGCGAAACAGGGAAUACAUUAAUUUAUGUAUUCCCUGUCAUCCGGAGGUGGCGCUCCGGAUCUGAUGAGCAGCCAAGG
rnacentral:hammerhead_ribozyme from 1 species